AGGUUCACACUUUAAUCUGAUUUAGAUGCUGUAGUGUGAUCUGAAUUAGGGCUGUAUGUGCUCCAAAACUCUAAAAUAUGGCUCGUUUAAGACAACAGUGGGGUCCAAAUUCCUCUACAGACACGUAUAAAUGCAUACAGAUACAAUGUGUGUGUUUCCAGCACUGCCUUUUCAACUGCUAGCCUAAUGUUUCCAUGUAAAAACCAGCUAUCGGCUCAAUCUGCUGCCUCAUUGCGUGCAGUUUUGUCUUGCGUGAGCGCGCCUCUGACGUGCGCUUCUCGUGAUGCCUACGUCAUGACGCUGCCAGCUGAUCGGAGAGUGGGAAGCCGGGUCUGUGCGUGUGGACUGGGCGUGUGAAUGUGUGUGAGAUAUAGAGGGAGGGAGGACUGGGACAGACAGGAGUUGUGUAAAAAAAAAAAAAAAAAAAGGAAAGGGGGAAAAGAAAAAGAAGAGGAGUUGAAGUCCUGCGCUGCCUUUCUCUCCGCUCUUUCCUGCCGAUGAAGAGAAAGCGCCGCGGACGAGCCGAAAUUCAGCCAAACCUUUUAGUCUGCAAGCGUGAAGGAAAUCCACAGACACCGACACACCCUGGAAAAGCUCCAGGGAGGACUCCGCGGGGAGCGGUGGGCGAGGCGCAGCGCUGAACUCCGGCGGAGCGGCCGGGGAUGAGCCGGGGAAGCGGGCCAGGAUCCAGCGACCCGGCCGGUGGGUGCUGAAGGGACGCAUGGCCGCUAAAAAUCAGAAGAAGGAAGGAGAAGGAGUCACAGUCUGUGAUAUCAACGAGAAGGUGUGCCACCACCACCCCCCCGGGGGGCCGAAGGCUGUGAACGCUCCCGUUCUGCUGGCCUCAGAUGGCUGACGCACAGCAGUUCUUCACUGGCAAGCUUUAUGUUCCUGUACACAUGCUAAAGCUGCCAGCUGAAGAACUGCUCUGGUCAGCCCUGCCCUGCACGGUGCAACAUGCAGACGAGGAUGGCAGCCGGUGGGAAUGUAGCUCAGGGUAUACUUUUUUUUUUAAUCGUUUGAACCAUUAUUGUAUCACGUUAAUAUAACAAUCGGUUUGUUUCACGGUAAAAUCCUGCGUCCCUGCAUAAAUGUUGUAAAUGAUCAGUUUUCUCCUCCCUGCAAUAAAAAACUAAAUGUUCCCCUAAGAAAGAUUGUCGUUGACUUUACACUAAGGGCAAUAAAACACAACAGAUCUGA